rnacentral:rRNA from 1 species
GAUGAACGCUGACAGAAUGCUUAACACAUGCAAGUCAACUUGAAUUUGGGUUUUUUAACUUAGAUUUGGGUGGCGGACGGGUGAGUAACGCGUAAAGAACUUGCCUCACAGCUAGGGACAACAUUUGGAAACGAAUGCUAAUACCUGAUAUUAUGAUUAUAAGGCAUCUUAGAAUUAUGAAAGCUAUAUGCGCUGUGAGAGAGCUUUGCGUCCCAUUAGCUAGUUGGAGAGGUAACGGCUCACCAAGGCGAUGAUGGGUAGCCGGCCUGAGAGGGUGAACGGCCACAAGAGGACUGAGACACGGCCCUUACUCCUACGGGAGGCAGCAGUGGGGAAUAUUGGACAAUGGACCAAGAGUCUGAUCCAGCAAUUCUGUGUGCACGAUGACGUUUUUCGGAAUGUAAAGUGCUUUCAGUUGGGAAGAAAAAAAUGACGGUACCAACAGAAGAAGGACGGCUA